GUAAUCUUGUAAAUUGGUGAAGACUUGGGCUUCAAGUUGGCUGUGACCAAACGGGCUUUCUGCGCGCUUCGCUAUCGAUCGAUGUCAAGACAUGAACAUCGAUCGAUUAUUCCUCUUCAAUAUCGACCGAUGGUCGAGCUCGAUGGUCAUCUCGGGUGCUUGCUCCAAAUAUCUCCAAAAUGGUCCAAAAUCAUCACUUAUCUCCAAAUCACUUCUGAUCCUAUAAAUAUGCUAAAUAGACUCUAUAAUAUAAUAAUUAAUAGAAACACUUAUAAACCAUGGAUGAAAAUGGGUCAGAUCCUGCGCACUUAGAACGCUCAAUCCGCAAAGAAAAAUGCACCGCAUCGAUCGACAACAACACCCGUUAGUCGACCGA
rnacentral:lncRNA from 1 species